rnacentral:rRNA from 1 species
GACAGAGGGGGCAAGCGUUGCUCGGAAUUACUGGGCGUAAAGGGCGCGUAGGCGGGAUGGCAAGUCGGUCGUGAAAUCCUUCGGCUCAACCGAAGAACGUCGAUCGAUACUGCUGUUCUUGAGGGUUGCAGAGGAGACUGGAAUUCCCGGUGUAGCGGUGAAAUGCGUAGAGAUCAUGAGGAAGACCAGUGGCGAAGGCGGGUCUCUGGACAGUUCCUGACACUGAGACACGAAGGCCAGGGGAGCAAACGGG